CCUACGGGUGGCUGCAGUGGGGAAUAUUGCACAAUGGGGGAAACCCUGAUGCAGCGACGCCGCGUGAGCGAGGAAGUAUUUCGGUGUGUAAAGCUCUAUCAGCAGGGACGAAAAAAGACGGUAUCUGACUAAGAAGCCCCGGCUAACUACGUGCCAGCAGCCGAGGUAAUACGUAGGGGGCACGCGUUAUCCGGAUUUACUGGGUGUAACGGGAGCGUAGACGGCAAGGCAAGCCGGAAGUGAAAGGGCAGGGCUCAACCCUGUACAGGCUUUUGGAACUGUGGUGCUAGAGUGCAGGAGGUGUAAGUGGAAUUCCUAGUGUAGCGGUGAAAUGCGUAGAUAUUAGGAAGAACACCAGUGGCGAAGGCGGCUUACUGGACUGUAACUGACGUUGAGGCUCGAAAGCGUGGGGAGCAAACAGGAUUAGAUACCCCAGUAGUC
rnacentral:rRNA from 1 species